GCUUCAAAUUGGAUGGCACUGCAGCUGGAGGCUUUGUUCAGAAUUGAUCCUGGGGAGCUACGAACCCAAAGUUUCACAGUAGGAAGGGGGAAAAAAGAAAAGAAAACAUUUUUCCUAAUGUAACAAUGCGAAUGCUAGAAAAUGACAAGACUGAUCGGUUUUAAACCAUUCUGAAGACUGACUGAGCGUGGAAGUUGCUCAACAAAAAAAGGAACGGGUAUAUUGGUAAGUAGUCUUUGCUUUGUGUCUAAUUAUAGUGACUGUCCUUUUGCACGACUGUAUGUCGCUGUCAUUAUAUGGAGCACUCUGAGUAUCUCUAUUGACUUCUGAUAAAUGGCUCAGUGGUUUCAAGGUUCAUAAUUUGAAGGAUGCCCAGGUCUGUAGCCAUUAAUUCUCGCAGUAUGGGGCUUCCUGCUUGUAUGACGAAAGGACUUUUCAUUUUCAUUAUUUCUGUGCUUUCCCCAAGAUCGGAAGGAUGUAUUUCAUCCAGCAUAGUGCAUUUUCCUACCUAGCUAGCUGGCAAUGGGUUUUAAACAUUAAGUAGGCAUAAUUGUGCACUCUACUCUCUAUUUUUUUCUUUCCUAUAUUUUAAAAAACUGCAUCCAAACAAAGACAAAUAUGGCUGUAUUAUUUUGGCUGGGAAAAGGGAAAGGAGAAUACUCAGUUUCAGCACUAGAAACUACUGUGAUGUCUAGAAGUUAACUUGAGGAUAGGUCAUUCUAAUGUUUAAAACAUAGGUAAAUGUGUAGAAAUUACAAUAAAAACGUAAUAUGUAAAGAAAGUUGAAAGAACAUCCAUGGUUAAUGUUAAACUACCUAAGACAAAGGCUAGUGUGCAAACUGACAUCUUUGCAGGCACUUGAUGUUCAUAUAUAUACAUAUGACUUCCCAUAUUAGGAAAUAGGAAUUUUUUUAAGGGUGAUAGAAAAUUUAAUGGGGGGAAGGGAAGUGAGGGAGGAGGGAGGAAAGAGAGGGACAGAGACACACAGAGAGAGAAAUAUACAAGACACUCAGCGUUUUGUGGCUUUUACUCCAUAUAUGAAAGAAGACAAAAACAUACAAAGUAUAUGUACAACUAAAAUUCAACAAUAUAUACAGAAAUGUUUCUUGAUAUAAACGUCCCUAUUAGCUUUGUGAAUGCCACCAAUUCACCUAGUAAAGGUGUCAAAGCAAUAGAAUGGUGAUUUUGAUUGUUUCCUCCGUCUUUCCUGAUUCCAGUUCAGGGUUUGGGGGGGUGGGGUGGGGAAAGAGUGGUUUUUGUUUUGUUUUUUUUUAAUCAACCAUCAUUCCUGGUCAUUGCAUUUUGAUAAAACAUGCAGCAUUCCCUUUGUAGCAAUGUUCUAAUCUUACAGCCACUUUUUCCUUUUUCUUUAGAGAAGGGCUGUUAUGUGAGGAAUUUUCUUUUUCUCGUCAGUCUGGGAAUGGUAAAUAAAAAUGCAGGAGUCCAAAAUGCUUCUCUUUCACCAUGUAAUGUCUUAAACUCAUUAAACAAGUAAAAACGCUGCCAAGUUUGUGCAGAUUCUUCUGGUUGGGGGAAAAUCUGUUUUUAAAAAAAGUCAUUUUGAUGGAUACUCCCAAAGAGAAGAGACUCAGAGCCUGGAUCCCAAGGGGUAAGAGAAAAUAUCCUUACAGUAAGGGGUUUCAGGAGUGCUGGCAUAGAAACCAGUUUCUCUCUCACACAUGCUCUUUCUCUCUCUCUGAGAUGCAAGAUCAAUUACUGACGUUGCUCAAGAGAGAAGGUAAAUGAGAAAAAAGGUGAAAGGCAAAAA
rnacentral:lncRNA from 1 species